GAAAAUCAAUCUAAUUAUUAGGUUAAUUAACUCAAAGCCCAACAUUAAUUUAAUUCAAAUUAAGCCCAUUAAAUAAACUAUCAGGUCCAUCAGAAUUAGUUGGUCCAAAUAUAGUUCAAGCCCAAUUAAUAAUUCAGAUUUUAUAACACCAAAAUAUGAAUCAGAUUAAUAAUUCUUCCCCUUCCUCUCACACGCAUACUUUUUCUUUUUCUCUGUUCUCUCUCUCUAUCGCUCCUUCCUAUCGCCUCUCUCUCUCUCCCUCCUUCUCCGGCGGUCGUCGCUGGUUCUCGCCGCCUCCGGCGCGGCGAGGCCGGCCCCUUCUCUUCCCCCUUCCUUCCCUUCCAUUUCUUCCCUAUAUCUAAAUCCCCAAAUCAUAAAAUCUAAUUCCUAGGGUUUCUACCUCCCUUCUUCCCCUUUGGAAUUCGUCUCUCUGCCGUCGUCUCCGUCGCACCACCGCCUCCACUGACUCAGGUAAGCUCUAGAUCUAUGGAGUAUUUCAUUAUAACUAUUAAUUUCAUUAUAUUAAUUCUGCAUAAGUCUUAUUCAUCACCCUUACAGAUUCAAGUCUAGAGACAAAAAAAAUCAGGAAAUCUACAAUGAAGGAGGAUACUGAGCUCGCAACAGCCGUUGGGAGUUCAACCAUGCCAUCCCACAAAACUUUGGUGAUAAAGAAGAAGAUCGCAAUGAUAUAGAGGCAGAACAUACGCCUCACUUCACCUCAAGAUCUCUGCAGCAGCCUGCGCCCCGCCUCAGUGUGUCACUGUGAAGCCCAUCAUUUGUUUGUCGUCGUCUUGCUUCCUUCGGCCUCGGCUCAUCUGCCAGCGACAACUCUAUUUGUCGUCGUCUUGCUUACUUCGGCCUCGGCCCAUCUGCCAGCGGCUCUGUAGCAGCCUGCGACGUCUCUGCAACCCAACAACUAAUGUGAAAUGUGGGAGUGAAGAAGUCAUAUUUAUAGGGGCCGAAACUUGGAGGGUAAGUAUUGAAUUUGAUUCUGGAAGCCAAACUCCAAAUCAGUAUUUUGUAUUAACCAUCAAUUUUUUUGUUUAUCCGGUGGUUUGUUAUAUGUGAAGAUUAAUUUUAUUUUUACCCAAAAGAUUGUUGGAUGUCAAGCUUGGGGUCCAAGUCUUGAAUUGAUUUUGGAAAUCAGAUUUCACUUUUACAUUAUACAUUAGACAAAUUUGGAUUACACAUUGGAUAAAUGGGUUGUUCUUUUUCCCGCCAAAAUGCACAAAUUGGC
rnacentral:lncRNA from 1 species